AUGCUCGUAUGGAUGCAGUAUGAGUGGGAACGUGCAUGUGACAGCACCAGAAAUUACAGCCAAGUAAAUGUUAAAAGACUGGGACUUGUACCGAACACUCAGCAUGCUGCUCCUGGGGCUCAUCAACAAGGAGAAUGUGCCCUUCAAACCAACAAGGAAAAAUGGAGGAAACACAGAAAGUUGGCAAUGACCUACACAGCUAUUGGAGUCAGAAACAGCACCAACUGCCAAAACAGCUGCAGUGACGUGUGCGGAAGGACAUCACAGCUGAAGAGCAACUUGGGAACAACAAAUUUCCAUUGCCUUCAGAUUUCCCCAGACUGCUGUUAUGUUGGCUUUGUUACACUCUCAUUCAGAACUGUGGGAUUCACACUGAAUUAUUUAAUGCUAACACUUCUCAAGGCCCCUAAACGUAUUCAAAGAGGGUGCAGAGCAUCCUGUCUGAAUGGCGAUUGCUAUUUCCACUGAAUGCAAUCUAACUAGAAAACAUUAUAAAUAUAUAUAUAUAUGUGUGUAUAACUGGAACUGGAAGCUUACUUUAGGAGAUAAAAUCACAGAGAAUCACAGAACUGGGAGGGGUUGGAAAGGACUUCUGUAGGUCCCCCAAUCCAACCCCUUGAUAAAACAUGUUCCCUACAGCAAGUUGCAAAGGAACGCAUUCAGAUGGAUCUUGAAUACCUCCAGAGAAGGAGAUAGCCACCUUUCUGGGCAUUCUGUUCCAGUGCUCUGUUACUCUGACAGGGAAGUUCUUCCUCAUGUUAGUAUGGAACUUUCUGUGUUCCAGUCUGUGCCUGAUGCCCUUUGCCCUGUUGUUGGGCACCACUGAGAAGAACCUGGCUCUAUCCUCUUAGCUCCCACCCUUUAGGUAUUUAGAAGCAUUGGUAAGAUCUCCUGCAUAGUCUUCUCCAGUCUGAACAGCCCCAGGUCUCUCAGCUGGUCCUUGCUCAGGAGAUGCUCCAGAGAGCAUUCAAGUCUUGCUGAAUGGUGGCACAGCCAUAUAGUGUGUCAGUCACCUGGCUUUGUAUCAUCAUCAAACUUGCUGCAGGUGGACUCUAUCCCUUCAUCCAGAUUGUUGAUGAGGAUGUUCAAGAAGAUCAGAUCAAGCACUGACCCCUGGAGAACACUACUAGUUACAGGCCUCCAACCAGGCUCUGUGCCACUGAUCACAACUCUCUUUGAGCUCUCCAGUUCUCAAUCCACACUUCCAAAUCCACUUACCUAUGAGGCUGUUACGGAAGGUGAUGUCCAAAGCCUUGCUGAAGUCAAGGUAUGUAACACCCACAGAUCUCCCUGCAUUUACCCAGCUGAUCAUGUCAUCUUAGAAGACUACCAGGUUGAUCAAGCACAAUUUUCCCUUGGUGAACUCACACUGACUACUGCUGGUAAACUUCUUCCCUUCCAGUUGCCUGGAGAUGGCAUCCAGACCAAGCUGUUCCACCACCUUUCCAGGGAGAGGUGAGACUGACUGCCCUGCAGUUUACCGGAUCCUCCUCCUUGCCCUUUCUGAAGACCGGGGUGAAUCAGUUGUCCUUCAGACUUCAGGCACCACUUUUAUUCUGCAUGCCCUUAACAUAGAUGAUAGCAAUUUGGUAAUCACUUUCACCAGCUCCCUCACCACGUAUGGGUGCACCCAAUCAGGGUCCAUGGAUAUGUGUGGGUCAGGACUGUCAGGUUGCUGACAACAGAUCUGUUCCUCCACUUUGAUCAGCCCUUGUGCCAGUGCAAAGGGAGGAUGGCAUGGAUGGAGUAUUUUCUCUCUCAUGGGGAGCUAUGGGCACGGGGGCUCUCUCUGCAGAGGACUGUGCAUCAGACAGCAGCUCUUUGUAGGAAGAUGCCUUAGGUACUCAAGUCUUUCAGUGCAAGUCCCUUGUUUUCUUAUUGAGCACACUGAAAACCUGUUGGUUUAUUCCACAAGAAGAUGAGCAAACACAUGCCACUUCAAGGUAUCUCUUGAACUGCUUAGUAGACAUCUGUGCUGUCAACUUCUGCCUUGUUAUUAAGAACACUCUUCCUUCUUGUUCUUUUUUCCUUCACCCUGGAAUUCUAAAUGGGACUUUUAGCUAUUUUUGUGUGUUUUCAAGAAUAAAAAUUAUGAUCAUCUUGCUUUUUUUCGCUUU
rnacentral:lncRNA from 1 species